rnacentral:rRNA from 1 species
CAGCCGCCACGGUAAUACGUAGGGUGUGAGCGUUAAUCGGAAUUACUGGGCGUAAGGCGUGCGCAGGCGGUUAUAUAAGACAGAUGUGAAAUCCCCGGGCUCAACCUGGGACCUGCAUUUGUGACUGUAUAGCUAGAGUACGGUAGAGGGGGAUGGAAUUCCGCGUGUAGCAGUGAAAUGCGUAGAUAUGCGGAGGAACACCGAUGGCGAAGGCAAUCCCCUGGACCUGUACUGACGCUCAUGCACGAAAGCGUGGGGAGCAAACAGGAUUAGAUACCCCUGUAGUCCCUGUCUCUUAUAC